rnacentral:rRNA from 1 species
UACGGAGGGGGCUAGCGUUGUCCGAAGUUACUGGGCGUAAAGCGCGCGUAGGCGGGUUGGUAAGUCCGCUGUGAAAGCCCGGAGCUCAACUCCGGAGGGUCGGUGGAUACUGCCAGUCUUGAAGGUGCUAGGGGGAGAUGGAAUUACCGGUGUAGCGGUGAAAUGCGUAGAUAUCGGUAGGAACACCAGUGGCGAAGGCGGUCUCCUGGGGGCAUUCUUGACGCUGAGGCGCGAAAGCUGGGGGAGCAAACGGG